rnacentral:rRNA from 1 species
CAGUAGCCGCGGUAAUACGAAGGGUGCAAGCGUUACUCGGAAUUACUGGGCGUAAAGCGUGCGUAGGCGGCUUCUUAAGUCGGAUGUGAAAUCCCUGAGCUUAACUUAGGAAUUGCAUUCGAUACUGGGAAGCUAGAGUAUGGGAGAGGAUGGUAGAAUUCCAGGUGUAGCGGUGAAAUGCGUAGAGAUCUGGAGGAAUACCGAUGGCGAAGGCAGCCAUCUGGCCUAAUACUGACGCUGAGGUACGAAAGCAUGGGGAGCAAACAGGAUUAGAUACCCGUGUAGUCCCUGUCUCUUAUAC